GACACGACUCUCGGCAACGGAUAUCUCGGCUCUCGCAUCGAUGAAGAASGUAGCGAAAUGCGAUACCUGGUGUGAAUUGCAGAAUCCCGCGAACCAUCGAGUCUUUGAACGCAAGUUGCGCCCGAGGCCACCCGGUCGAGGGCACGCCUGCCUGGGCGUCACG
rnacentral:rRNA from 1 species